GGUUAGAUAACAUAAUAGGCUAAUGUAGUGGAUUGCAAAUCCAUAAAUGUCGGUUCAAUUCCGUCUCUAACCU
rnacentral:tRNA from 1 species